rnacentral:tRNA from 1 species
GUGAGCUUAGCUCAGUUGGUAGAGCAUCAGGUUGUGGUUCUGAGGGUCGUGGGUUCGAUCCCCACAGCUCACCCCA